AUUUUAAUUUGCCAACAAAUCCUAAUGUGGACUUUGUCAAGUUGUGAAAUAAAGUGAUUUUUUGGUAUGGAAAUAUGUGUUAAGACAGACUGUUAGUCUUUGCACUUUAACAACUAGCUGAUACACUUACGUCACAUGGAUGAAAACAUACGCAAGUGCACUGUUGUUGGAUAAGGACUCCUGGGUGGUUAGAAGAAUGUGCAGAUCUAACUACUCCCAUUAAGACCAUUGAUUAAAAUGAAAAAUGCUUAUAAAGGUGGAGCUCUCUCAGUUUUAGUCUUAUUGCGUGCCAGAAGCACUAAGGAAUUGCUGCUAAAUAUAAGACAAAUGGACUUGAGGAAAUCACUGAUGACUAACUUGAAACUCUGCCUCCUGAGAUCACACAGAUGAUGAAGAUCAUGUCUCCAAGUCUUUUCUGCCGUUGCCAGUAUUCUCUCCCAAUCUCCUGCGGGCAACUUCUUUGGGAAAACACUCAUGCAAUUUCAUAAGGACAAGCGAAAAUAUGAAGAAGGUGGAUCUUGGAACUGGGCUUUGAUCACAGAGCGGAGCUGAGAUGAAAGUCCAUCCACUCAUUCAACAAAUAAUUGAGUGCUUACAAAAAUUUCUGCUGUAUGGAGCUUAUAUUGCAGUGAAUAUCAAUUCUUAUUUUAUUGAUUAUAAAACAGAACUUUUUGCAACAAUUUUACACUACCCUAGAGGUACCUAUGAGUCUUCAUGCCUCAAGUAAUUGUCCUGUCCAUGUGACUAUGGAAGCCCUGAAAUCUUUGAAACCCCAGAUGACCCAUUUUACCAGACGCUUGGACAUUCUCCGUCGAGUUUGGAUUUAUAGUGGGUACCCAGAUUUAGGUCAAGAACAUAAAAUCUGAACCACUUUAGGCACUGCUCAUGAGGAGUAAAUUCCUAGUGAAAAAGCAAUGUCCCUCAGGAAUGAUUGCUAUAGCAGGCUAAAAGGUAGAUUUAUAAAUGUUUAUAAAAAGCAGAUUGGAUUUAGCAGAGGUAGCAGUGAUGACCAGGAGCAAUAGGAGGAAAUGUUCUUAAUAGUGCUGUUUGGUGGCAUCUUCUUUUUAUACAAAGAAGUCUUGCAAGCAUUUCUACUUGAAUGACUAAUUUGGAGUAAUUUUUAGUUUCUGUAUUUUUAUUAGUUAAUAGGAUCUAGGAAUAUAAUAACCUGGUGAGAAUUUCUUUGUGAAUGGCAGUCAAAUUUGUCUUAUUCAUGAAACUCAUAAAUAAGCUAUAAUCCAGCAUUUUAUAACUAGGGAAAAUAAAACUGGGGUCCUGCUGUUUAAGAGGCUAAGGGAAUUUAACAGAACACUGGGGGAUUUAUAGUAGAUUUAUGAUGAAGAUACAUUCUAACUGGAAGCUUAAUUGUGAUUUAAAUUAUAGGUCAAGCUGUGCAAUGUGUUUUCUUUUUAGGGGGAAAUCUUUAGAGAGAUAGAGUGUGCUUGUUUAAAGAGGAAACAGACCAAAUGAGAAAACAGAUUGCAUUUUCUGUUUUUCUUUUAAAAUUUCAAGCUGCUUUAAGUCAAAUUGCACCUGAGUUCCUGAUGAUGGCUGUGGUGAAAUUGCCUUGUUUUACUUUCUUGCCUUCUUUUCCAGAGCAGUUAUUUUACCUGAAAAUAACAAAAAGAUAUAGGCAGCAUAUCAGCCAGAAAACUAAUAUGGAAACCAGAGAUAAAGUAUACUCAACCUGCCUAGAAUUGUGACAUCCUAUAAUUUUAGGCUGAGUUGUAUAAAAUUAGCAAGUAAUAUGGAUGAAAGGGCCUUUGAAAAAUUUUUGCCACUCAUUUUGCAAAUGGGAAAAUUGAGGCUUCUAGUGGUUUUCCUAAAUUUUUUAUCUCAAGUACUUUAAGGUCUCAUGAGAAAUAAAAUUUAUGUACAAAUAAUUUUAAUUAAAAGUAUAAAAAGUUGUUUCCCUGAAAAAUAAAACUUAAAACAGAUAACAAAAGGUUGAUUCUGUAGGAAGGAUUUCUAUUGGGAAAAGGACAGUUAGACCUGACAGCCCAGAUGCUUACUCUCUAACAUUUCCCUACCCCUUGGCAGAAUCCUUCAAUAAUUAACACCAGGACAACCACACAGACUUCAGCCAUGGGUGUGUCAGAGGCAUUUAAACCAGAGCAACUCCAUCUUGAAUAAGGGCUGAGCAAAGUGAGGCUGAGACCCACUGGGCUGCAUUCCUAGGAGGUUAGGCAUUCUUAGUUACAGGAUGAGAUAGGAGGUUGGCACAAGAUACAGGUCACAAAGACCUUACUGAUAAAAUAAUAUGGUACAGAAGCUGGCCAAAACCCACCAAAACCAAGAUGGUGACGAAAGUAACCUCUGGUAGUCUUCACUGCUCAUUAUGUGCUAAUUAUAAUGCAUUAGCAUGCUAAAAGACACUCCUACCAGUGCCAUGACAGUUUACAAAUGCUAUAGCAAUGUCAGGAAGUUACACUAUAUGGUCUAAAAAGGGGAGGAACUCUCAGUUCCGGGAAUUGCCCACCUCUUUCCUGGAAAACUCAGGAAUAAUACACCCCUUGUUUAGCAUAUAAUCAAAUAACUGUAAGUAUAAUCAGUCAAGCAGCCUAUGCCACUGCUCUGUCUAUGGAGUAGCCAUUCUUCUAUUCCUUUACUUUCCUAAUAAACUUGCUUUCACUUUACUCUAUGGACUCACCCCAAAUUCUUUCUUGCAUGAGGUCCAAGAACCCUGGCUUAAAGUCUUGUUCAGGACCCUUUUCUGGUAAUAUCUUCCUGGUGACCACAACGAGAUUAAACUAAGGAGACUCCCUACCCAAAAGAAAUAGAUUAGAGCACCAAUUGUAUGACUUUGGGUAAGUGAUAGGAACCAUUUUACCUGGUUAAAGGAUGGAAUAGGGUUAGAGGCCCAACUUAGGAGAGUUAGAGCCUCUCCUAAGACAGAGAGCUUAAAGGCCCCUCUUAAUAAAAGGCAAGGACACUUGAUGGAACUUAGGUUCAAGGCCCAGACUAGGAAGGUUAGAGUCCUUCCUAAGAUUAAGGGGGUUAGAAGCUCCUCUCAGUAAAGUCCUUCUUGGUUAAAAAUGGAUUUCACAUUAUGGGAUAUUAACCGUUAUUCUCUUUGGAUUAAUCUGCCUUGCACUGUUUGCUGAUGGCUGUGGGUGACAGGAUUAGGCAUAUAUAGGAUCACUGGAUAUGGGGAGCAUUUUCUCCCUAAAGGGGAAAUUUGAGAGCUAAUGAGACAAUUGGCCACCUGAACUUUAGAUUCAGUGUUGCUGCAAUGGAUGGGUCUUGUCUGGCCUCCCUGAGCUCCUCGUUUUCCUCACCCUGCUGCAGGCAAUGCUUUUCUCCCUUUCUUUCCUUUCUCUUUUCUAUCUUUUCUGUUACUCAGGGCAACUGUCUGCGGUUUCAGUUUGCCCAGAAACCACAUGUUGAAACUUCUGGUCAGAAGAUCAUUCCACACCAAUUUGAGUGGAUCAAAGAUGAAAAGGCCCGACCAGAAUCAUGUUUGAGCCUUGCCAGUUUGAUACUGGGUGCUAAGCAGAGUGGCUAAUGUCUAUGUUUUGUCACAUUUAUUUUGCUCUGGCUGGUUUGGAAGAUGUUAAUUGGGUUACCCCAUGCAAUCUCUUGGGUGACAUCUUGCAAAAUUGAGAGGCUUUUGCCUAUGGUUUCAUGAAAUGGAAAAAGGUGAUUUUCCUUUGUGUUGUGGUUUGGCCCCUAGGGCUAUGGUGCCACAAGACAGGUCACUAGGGCUGCUCAGGGAAAGGGAACCCAGAAGCCUGGCAUGCCAGCAAAAGGGUAAGAAUUUCUUACCAUUCAGACUUCUGGCCUCUCUGUGCAAAUGAGUUAUAGGAAUGGUAAACAUCCCUGUUUAUUCCUGUGUAAAGUUUUAAUUAAUAGGAAAAAGAAUUUUCCCAUUAAGUUAGUCUUAAGCUGUAGUGAAUUUGCUGUACUUUGUGCUAUAAAUUUGUCUUUCCAGAUUGUUCUGUCAGAAGGAGCGGUAUCUUAGGAUAGAAUACAGGCUUAAGCCCCCACGUGGUGGUUAAUACUGAGUAUCAAAUUGAUUGGAUUGAAGGAUGCAAAGUAUUGUUCCUGGGUGUGUCUGUGAGGGUGCUGCCAAAGGAGAUUAACAUUUGAGUUGGUGGACUGGGAGAGGCUGACCCACCCUCAAUCUGGAUGGGUACCAUCUAUUCAGCUGCCAGCUUGGCUAGGAUAAAAGCAGGCAGAGAAAUGUGGAAAGACUAAACUGGCUGAGUCUUCUGGCCUCCAUGUUUCUCCCAUGCUGGAUGCUUCCUGGCCUUGAACAUCAGACUCCAAGUUCUUUAGCUUUUGGACUCUUGGACUUACACCAGUGAUUUGCCAGUGGCUCUUGGGUCUUCAGCUACAAACUGAAGGCUGCACUAUUAGCUUCCCUACUUUUCAGGUUUUAGGACUGGGACUGGCUUCCUGGCCUCUCAGCUUGCAGAUGGCCUGUUGUGGGACUUCACCUUGUAAUCGUGUGAGACAAUUCUCCUAAUAAAUUCCCCAUUCAUUUAUUCAUCUAUCUGUUCUGUCCCUUCAGAGAACCCUGACUAAUACACCUUAUAAGACUGCUGUUCAAGACAGCCCAUCAAACUGGUCACUUACAAACUUUGCUUCAGGUCCCUGAAACAAAACAAAACAAAACAAAAACAAAACUGAAGUUUCCCUCUUGUCUUGUUUUAUGUUCUUGGGAGCUUGACCUUAUAACCAUGUGGCAGUACUUCCUCUUUGUCUCUGCCAUUCAGAGAACAGGAACUUUGGGGUUCAUAUCAUAGUUAGCCCUAAAAAUUAUAUUGAGCAGUUAAAAGGCUUUGCAAGCUCAAAAUUGGCUGCUCUAGACUCCUUCUGGGAAGGGCAAUGGAGACUGCCCAGUGCCGUAGAACAACUUCUGACUUCCUUUCUUGAAUUUUCCUUUUUCUGAGUACCUGGGAGGUUACCUUUGGUAAAGUUCAAAAGCUACAAGUAUUUGCUGUUUUGCCUGGCUAGAGUCUGAUAAUGAGAUUUUUUUUUUUAAAAGAAUGCUAUGGUUAAAAGUCAGCUUAAUUAAAAGUGGAUAUUCAAGCUCUAACAGCCUGGGACUCCUUGGGAAAAACAGGAGGCACUACAGACCCUGUUUGAGGAAAAACCUCUGUUUUCUUCAUGAAAACCCAGAAAUUGAAAUCAGAUAGAUCCCUCUCAAAAUCUAAGGCUCUCCUCUGUUUUGCAUUGUGAUGUCUGACAGUAUUGACUUUUAGGGGUAUCAGAAAUUACUUUGCAUUAUGAGAGAGCUUUUGUGUGUAAUAACUAGGUAGGAAAUAUACUUUUGGGGAUGGCUAAUGGCAGUUAUAGGGAGAUACUUGGCAUUUUGCAUGUUUGGAUUAGAGAAUCAUGUUCUUGGCCACCUAGAAAGUAUGAAAAUGUCCCCAUUCCCCACUGAGAGAUGAGACUCCUAUGGGAGAUGGUUUGAUUCCCUCUUUUUUAAAAUUUAACUUUAAGUUCUGGGAUACAUGUGCAGGAUGUGCAGGUUUGUUACAUAGGUAAGCAUAUGCCAUGGUGGUUUGCUGCACCUAUCAACCCAUCACCUAGGUAUUAAGCCACACAUGCAUUAGCUAUUUAUCCUGAUGCUCUCCCCGACAGGCCCCAGUGUGUGUUGUUCCCCUCCCUGUAUUCAUGUGUUCUCAUUGUUCAGCGCCCACUUAGAAGUGAGAACAUGUGGUGUUUGGUUUUCUGUUGCUGUGUUAGUUUGCUGAGGAUAAUGGCUUCCAGCUUCAGCCAUGUCCCUGCAAAGGACAUUAUCUCAUUCCUGAUUCCCUCUUUUCUUUGGGGAUCCAGGAUCUAAUAUAAAAAUGAGACCCUUAAUUUUGGGGCUCUGCUUUGCCUUCCAGCUGUGCCUGCUUAUUAGGCCCUGGAAACUGCAUGCUUUCCCAGUCCUAUUCCUCCAAGGGCUCCACCCUAAAGCCAGCAAUCCAAUUAAGAAACUUAAUGGAUUGUAAGCAAAUGGAAAAUCUUACAAGUACUGGAUUUUCUGUCUGUCUGCAUAUUUACAUGUGUUGUGUGUGUGGUGUUUAUAUAUAAAAGAGCUCUGAUUAAUUGGUUUAAAGAUAAUAGGCAAUUAAAUCAAAUAUUGUCAGAAAAAUAAAAACAAAUGCCUUUUACUUCACGUGACUUUAGUAAUCUUUAGGAAUUAGAGACAGUUUUAAAGAUUAUUGGUAAAAUAAAGACAUUUGGUCUAAAUUACGCCAGUCAGAUUUAGGUUUGCCAAAUGCUUUAAUAUUGUAAAGUGCUUUUUUAACUUGAUAUUUGUUCAACUUACCUGCUUUGGAGCCAUUAGAUUCCAGGUAAGGCAUGGGAACAUGUGGAGUUAGCCAUGCCCCCGGCUAUGCUGAAAAAGGACCUUAUCUGGACUUCUGUCUAGUGUCUUAGGCUCCACACCUGAUAGAUAAUUAAAAUCCUUACUUACCAGAUUUUUCACCAAAAAUAAAAGUUGCUCAGUUAGCAUUGUAACAUUUAAUUGAGUCUGCUGAAUAAGCAGUUUUACAUACAAGGUGUGUAAGGACAGUGACAUGUGUUUUUGGUAAAAGAAUUAUAAGAAGGCAUGGGAAUAUGGAUUUUUUUGGCCUAGUUUAGAGGCUUAAAAACUUUUUUCAAGCUAGAUAGAAAAAAGCUGAAGGUUUAAACAAGUUGUGGAAGGUUUGUGAACAAUUAAUCUUAUAAAAGAAAUUCUGUGUGUGAACAUAUUAGCUAAAAUUAAAGGGGGUAUUAUUCAGGUUUUUUCAUAAAUUGAACAUUGGAAUAAAAGCACAACAGGGUUUUCUUAGAACAGUGAUCUACUCUUUAACAAAAAAUUAUAAAGGGUUAUAAAAGGUUUAUGAGAAUCUUACCUUAUGAUCUAACUGAUUAAGAUUGGAUAGAUUUGUCUAGAAGGUUUUUUUUUAAGAAUUAGGUUUGGCAUCAAUACUGCAUUAAUGCAAAGGUGAAAUCUGGCUUUCUCUGUUGAACAAGAUUUUCAUGUUAUAUUAAAAAAUAUUAAAAUGUUUUUGUUUGCCUUUUAAAUAAACUAU
rnacentral:lncRNA from 1 species